AGUUAGUUUCAACAAACUAUUUUUCAUUUUAACAAAUAUUUUACCUGUUUUCUUCAACAAUCCAAUAUCAACAAUGGAGUUGCGUCCAUUAGACAUCAAAGUGAUCUCUGCAGACGGCAUAAAGUAUGUCAAUACUUUCUCUAAGAUGGAUGUUUAUACAGAAGUUUACAUUUCCAGUUACGCAAGCAAGGCUUCUAAGCAGAAAACUUUUGUUGAUAAGAAUAGCGGCUCGAAUCCCAAGUGGAAUCACUCCAUGAAAUUCACUCUCGAUGAAUCGUUUCUCACGAAAUCAGGGACUUACCUCGUUUUUCGUCUCAAAUCUGACCGUACUUUAGGUGAUAAAGAUAUUGGUGAGGUAUCUGUUCCUGUUCAUGAUUUGUUCAAUUCUAAUGGCACAGUGGAGAGGCUCGUUGAGUAUCCGGUGAUUACGGAGAGCGGAAAACCUAAAGGUACUCUGAAAUUUUCCUAUAAAUUUGGGGAAAAAUUUACAGCGCCUGAGCCGAAGAGAGAUGUACAUCAUGAACCUGUUACAGCUUAUCCUGCUCCAAUGCAUUCUGGUAUGGCUUAUAAUCAGCAAAAUUCUGGAUACGGAUAUCCACCUCCGCCUCAUCAUCAACGUGGGUACGCAUACCCACCCCAAGCUGGUGCACCGGGUUAUGGAUAUCCGCCACCACAACCCGGGUAUGGGUAUCCGCCACCACAACCUGGGUACGGAUAUCCACCGGUGCAACCCCCACCGCCAAAGAGGAAGAACAAGAUGGGAGGUGGAUUAGGGUUAGGGUUGGGUGCAGGAUUGCUUGGUGGUUUGUUGGUGGGAGAUAUGGUUUCUGACGUGGGAGAGAUGUCUGCUUAUGGUGAUGGUUACGGAGAUGCUAUGGAUGAUAUGGGUGGUGGUGACUUUGAUUUUUAGUUUAAUUUUUUUAAGUUUGUAAAUUUUCUUCUUCUUUUGUUUUUUUUUUAAUCUUUUGAGAUGUAAUAAACUUUGGUGCUAAGGUAGAUUUUGAAGGAUGCUUAUUUUUUAUUUAGUUAUUCAGAUCAACCUUACAGUACUAUUUCCUUUUUUUCUUUAAAAUAGUUUGUCAUACUUUUAGGGCUACGAG
rnacentral:misc_RNA from 1 species